rnacentral:piRNA from 1 species
UACGUGCCGUGUAAAACUUGAGG